rnacentral:rRNA from 1 species
ACGAACGCUGGCGGCAUGCCUAACACAUGCACGUCGAACGAGACCUUCGGGUCUAGUGGCGCACGGGUGCGUAACGCGUGGGAACCUGCCCUUAGGUUCGGAAUAACUCCCCGAAAGGGGUGCUAAUACCGGAUAAUGUCUUCGGACCAAAGAUUUAUCGCCUUUGGAUGGGCCCGCGUUGGAUUAGCUAGUUGGUAGGGUAAAGGCCUACCAAGGCGACGAUCCAUAGCUGGUCUGAGAGGAGGAUCAGCCACACUGGGACUGAGACACGGCCCAGACUCCUACGGGAGGCAGCAGUGGGGAAUAUUGGACAAUGGGCGAAAGCCUGAUCCAGCAAUGCCGCGUGAGUGAUGAAGGCCUUAGGGUUGUAAAGCUCUUUUACCCGGGAUGAUAAUGACAGUACCGGGAGAAUAAGCUCCGGCUAACUCCGUG